GGAUCUUUGCUUGAGCAACGACGUCUUCCCUUUUAAGUUUCUUCUUUCUUGGUCCAAGAUCGUGUAAGCCUUGGCCGUUUGUUGGUUUCCUGUGUUGCAUACCUAUCACCUGGAAUUGUUUGUUUCAAACGUCCCUUGUUCAUUGUGCGAAGGUGCGUUAUGCGUGCAUGUCGCUGAUGAACCACGAAGCGCUCAUUGCGGUCCGCCUCGGCCAUGUUCAUUCAUGUGUUGUACUCGGCCCGUGAUGGUUUGCCUGUACUCAUGGAUGCGGAAACCUUAGAGGGUAUGGGGCAUUGUCCCCUCUCUACCCAAAAUUAAGCGUUCACCGCUAACUAGCGAACGACCGUCGUUCUUGACUUGGGCUGGUCGACUUCAAGUGUCGUGCCAUGCUUGAGCAACAUCGACGUCGAUGAGGAAUGCUACC
rnacentral:misc_RNA from 1 species